UACGGAGGGGGCGUAGCGUUGUUCGGAAUUACUGGGCGGUAAAGCGCAUGCAGGUGGUUUGUUAAGUCAGAUGUGAAAGCCCGGGGCUCAACCUCGGAAUUGCAUUUGAAACUGGCAGGCUAGAGUACUGUAGAGGGGGUAGAAUUUCAGGUGUAGCGGUGAAAUGCGUAGAGAUCUGAAGGAAUACCGGUGGCGAAGGCGGCCCCCUGGACAGAUACUGACACUCAGAUGCGAAAGCGUGGGGAGCAAACAGGAUUAGAUACCCCUGUAGU
rnacentral:rRNA from 1 species